UACGGGGGGGGCAAGCGUUGUUCGGAAUUACUGGGCGUAAAGGGCCCGUAGGCGGCCAACUAAGUCAGACGUGAAAUCCCUCGGCUUAACCGGGGAACUGCGUCUGAUACUGGAUGGCUAGAGGUUGGGAGAGGGAUGCGGAAUUCCAGGCGUAGCGGUGAAAUGCGUAGAUAUCUGGAGGAACACCGGUGGCGAAGGCGGCAUCCUGGACCAAUUCUGACGCUGAGGAGCGAAAGCCAGGGGAGCAAACGGG
rnacentral:rRNA from 1 species